rnacentral:misc_RNA from 1 species
AUAACCAAACAUUGAAAUUUGAUACCCAUCGAAAUCUCUCUCUCAAACCAUCGGGAAAACCUGCAUGUCAAGUUUGCUCUUUUGAAAGUGGAUGAUGCUAUAUUCAUUUCUGGGGUUGCUCAAGGAAUUGGUUUCUGCCUAGUGCAUGACCUUUGAGUUGAGCAACUAUUAUCACAAUGGUAACCUCUCACCGCAGGUUCACUGGGGUUUUCAAAAGAUCAAAUGACAGUGUCAGGCUAAUAAUAACAACAAUCAUGGGAAUGGUAUUUGGAUAUUUCAUUGGCAUUUCGUUUCCAUCUGUUUCUCUAACAAAGAUGUCUUUACCUUCAAGCAUUUUAUCAUCUCUUGAUGUAGCCUUCAAUGACGGUCAUCAAAGACUUAGUGGACGUAGUUUUCCUGAAAAUCUUGGCAGUGUCCCUUUAACACCAAAGAUAUAUGUUCCAACAAAUCCUCGCGGUGCAGAGUCUUUGCCACCAGGGAUCGUGGUCCCUGAAUCAGAUUUCUAUCUACGAAGAUUGUGGGGUGAUCCAAGUGAGGAUCUAAGGAAUAAGCCAAAGUAUUUGGUGACAUUUACAGUUGGUUUGGAUCAAAAGAACAACAUCGAUGCCUGCGUUAAAAAGUUUUCAGAGGAUUUUCAAAUUUUGCUUUUUCAUUAUGAUGGUCGAACGAGUGAAUGGGAUCAGUUCGAAUGGUCCAAGCGUGCAGUUCAUAUCAGUAUUAGGAAGCAGACAAAAUGGUGGUAUGCAAAGAGGUUUUUGCAUCCUGAUGUCGUAGCUGCCUAUGAUUAUGUAUUUAUCUGGGACGAAGAUCUGGGGGUUGAACACUUCAAUGCAGACAAGUAUAUUCAGCUAGUUAAGAAACAUGGACUAGAGAUCUCUCAGCCAGGUCUUGAACCCAACAAUGGUCUA